GAAGCAGCAGCAGCAGCUCCAUGUCCUGUGUUUUAUUCACAUUUAUUUCUCCCCUCAUCAGGUGGAUGGUCUGUAAUAUUUUGCCCAGAUGGCAUUGUAUACGGCAUCAAAUUUAAUCUACGUGCUGAAAGUCCCAGGGACUUUGCAGACCUUCUACUCUCCUGGAAGCACUUCCCAAAUGCAUGUGGUUAUGAUUUUGCAAGAGGUUUGGCGACACACACCAAUUUGCAGGUUCCUCGUUCGCUGCCUGAAACUCACCCACCAUUGGCUACCAUAGUAGGGUAAUGUUUUGGUGAAAAGUAUUGAAAGAAGCAUGUAUAAAUGUGUAGCUGUUUCAUAAGCAAUCUGUUUUUAUGUUUUACAUUUUGAAGGUACCUACACUCCCAGCAAAGAUGUCAAGGGUUUCACUGGAUGACAUUUUACAGGCAUGUGUUUAUCACUUUAAUGUUGAUGAAAAUGGCCACUCAAGCUUAAAGUGUGGAACGGGCAUUAAAGAUUUCUUCAUUUAUUGUCUGAACUGUGAGUUAAUGUACUGUCGUCAUUGUGUUUUGAUAUUGAACAGGUGUAGUGAAUAGGAAAAUACGUUCAGAAAGUUAUUAAAUCUACAGAAAGCCUUAUACCAUCUCUAGGUGUCGCAGACUACAGUGCAGCCAACAUUACAAAGACUGUGUGGGGCUGGCUACCAAGGAAAAGGACAAUGGGGAGUGCUUUUGGGGUUUUACUCCUCAGAUGAGCAUCCUGGCUACUGUAGCUUGGAUUGAUUCUACGUUGGAUAUAGGCUGUGAGGGGGAGCCUUCUCAUCGAGUUCUCUCUCAUGUUUACCCACAUUGUAGCAUGUGUGUACGUGCUUUAUAGACACUGUGGUGUGUAUGUGGGUGUGAUUGCUGGAUUGCAGUAUUACGCUCGUAAUAAAACCCCUUAAACCGUGAAUGUAAUUGAAUUGGAGCUUGAAUUGUUAACGGUAUUGGCCAGUAAAUGUUUAGUUGCAAUUUUAAAAUUAGGAAAAACCUCUUGUUUGUUUUGGGCGAUUUAAACCCACUGAGCUGAGCAACUUGUUUCCUUUAAUAAAUUAGAGGAUACCUAUCCUUACAUAAAAAUAAACAUCCCUUUGCCAC